CCGUCGCGGGCGCAGGAAAUUUGAGAGGAGCUGUCCUUAGUACGAGAGGACCGGGAUGGACGCACCGCUGGUGUACCAGUUGUUCUGCCAAGGGCAUCGCUGGGUAGCUAUGUGCGGACGGGAUAAGUGCUGAAAGCAUCUAAGCAUGAAGCCCCCCUCAAGAUGAGAUUUCCCAUUCCGCAAGGAAGUAAGAUCCCUGAAAGAUGAUCAGGUUGAUAGGUCUGAGGUGGAAGCGUGGUGACACGUGGAGCUGACAGAUACUAAUAGAUCGAGGACUUAACCUAU
rnacentral:rRNA from 1 species